rnacentral:rRNA from 1 species
UCCUACGGGACGCAGCAGUGAGGAAUAUUGGUCAAUGGUCGGGAGACUGAACCAGCCAAGCCGCGUGAGGGAUGAAGGUACAGAGUAUCGUAAACCUCUUUUGUCAGGGAACAAAGGCGGGGACGUGUCCCCGGAUGAGUGUACCUGAAGAAAAAGCAUCAGCUAACUCCGUGCCAGCAGCCGCGGUAAUACGGAGGAUGCGAGCGUUAUCCGGAUUUAUUGGGUUUAAAGGGUGCGCAGGCGGUCUGUUAAGUCAGCGGUCAAAGCCCGGGGCUCAACCCCGGCCCGCCGGUGAAACUGGCAGG